rnacentral:rRNA from 1 species
UACGUAGGGGGCAAGCGUUGUCCGGAAUCACUGGGCGUAAAGCGUGCGUAGGCGGUGACGCAAGUCUGGAGUGAAAGUCCAGGGCUCAACCCUGGGAAUGCUUUGGAAACUGCGUGACUUGAGUACUGGAGAGGCAAGGGGAAUUCCACGUGUAGCGGUGAAAUGCGUAGAUAUGUGGAGGAAUACCAGUGGCGAAGGCGCCUUGCUGGACAGUGACUGACGCUGAGGCACGAAAGCGUGGGGAGCAAACAGG